UGAGCAAUCUGCCCUUCACAUCGGAAUAACCAUUGGAAACGAUGGCUAAUACCGAAUAUGACUUCGGAUCGCAUGAUCUGAAGUGGAAAGCUCCGGCGGUGAAGGAUGAGCUCGCGGCCUAUCAGCUUGUUGGUGAGGUAAUAGCUCACCAAGGCGAUGACGGGUAGCCGGCCUGAGAGGGUGACCGGCCACACUGGGACUGAGACCAGGCCCAG
rnacentral:rRNA from 1 species